rnacentral:rRNA from 1 species
UACGAGGGGGGCAAGCGUUGUUCGGAAUUAUUGGGCGUAAAGGGCGCGUAGGCGGUUUGACAAGUCUGAUGUGAAAUCUCUGGGCUCAACCCAGAGUCUGCAUUAGAAACUGUCGGGCUUGAGUAUGGGAGAGGUGAGGUGGAAUUUCCGGUGUAGCGGUGAAAUGCGUAGAUAUCGGAAGGAACACCUGUGGCGAAAGCGGCUCACUGGACCAUAACUGACGCUGAGGCGCGAAAGCUAGGGGAGCAAACAGG